UACGAACGCUGGCGGCGUGCCUAAUACAUGCAAGUCGAGCGAACAGAAGGGAGCUUGCUCCCGGAUGUUAGCGGCGGACGGGUGAGUAACACGUGGGUAACCUGCCUGUAAGACUGGGAUAACUCCGGGAAACCGGAGCUAAUACCGGAUAGUUCCUUGAACCGCAUGGUUCAAGGAUGAAAGACGGUUUCGGCUGUCACUUACAGAUGGACCCGCGGCGCAUUAGCUAGUUGGUGGGGUAAUGGCUCACCAAGGCGACGAUGCGUAGCCGACCUGAGAGGGUGAUCGGCCACACUGGGACUGAGACACGGCCCAGACUCCUACGGGAGGCAGCAGUAGGGAAUCUUCCGCAAUGGACGAAAGUCUGACGGAGCAACGCCGCGUGAGUGAUGAAGGUUUUCGGAUCGUAAAGCUCUGUUGUUAGGGAAGAACAAGUGCGAGAGUAACUGCUCGCACCUUGACGGUACCUAACCAGAAAGCCACGGCUAACUACGUGCCAGCAGCCGCGGUAAUACGUAGGUGGCAAGCGUUGUCCGGAAUUAUUGGGCGUAAAGGGCUCGCAGGCGGUUUCUUAAGUCUGAUGUGAAAGCCCCCGGCUCAACCGGGGAGGGUCAUUGGAAACUGGGAAACUUGAGUGCAGAAGAGGAGAGUGGAAUUCCACGUGUAGCGGUGAAAUGCGUAGAGAUGUGGAGGAACACCAGUGGCGAAGGCGACUCUCUGGUCUGUAACUGACGCUGAGGAGCGAAAGCGUGGGGAGCGAACAGGAUUAGAUACCCUGGUAGUCCACGCCGUAAACGAUGAGUGCUAAGUGUUAGGGGGUUUCCGCCCCUUAGUGCUGCAGCUAACGCAU
rnacentral:rRNA from 1 species